UAUUGUUGAGACACUAGUUAAGAA
rnacentral:piRNA from 1 species